GACGAACGCUGGCGGCGUGCCUAAUACAUGCAAGUAGAACGCUGAAGCUUGGUGCUUGCACCGAGCGGAUGAGUUGCGAACGGGUGAGUAACGCGUAGGUAACCUGCCUGGUAGCGGGGGAUAACUAUUGGAAACGAUAGCUAAUACCGCAUAAGAGUAGAUUUUGCAUGAGAUUUGCGUAAAAGGUGCAAUUGCAUCACUACCAGAUGGACCUGCGUUGUAUUAGCUAGGUGGUGAGGUAACGGCUCACCAAGGCGACGUUAGAUAGCCACCCUGAGAGGGUGGUCGGCCACCCUGGGAGGGUGACCCGCCCCAGUCGCCUUCGGGUGCCAGCAGUACGGAAUCUUCGGCCAUCGACGGAAGUCUUACCGCGAUACGCCGCGUGAGUGAAGAAGGUUGUCGGAUCGUAAAGCUCUGUUGUCAGGGAAGAACGAGUGUGAGACUGGAAAGUUCACACUGUGACGGUAUCUUACCAGAAAGGGCCGGCUAACUACGUG
rnacentral:rRNA from 1 species